rnacentral:rRNA from 1 species
AAAACAUGUCUUUUUGAAAAUAAUAUAAAGUCUAAUCUGCCCACUGAUUAAUUGAUUGAAGGGCUGCAGUAUAUUGACUGUACAAAGGUAGCAUAAUCAUUAGUCAUUUAAUUGAUGACUUGUAUGAAAGAUUGGAUGAGAUAUAAACUGUCUUAAAUUUAAUUAUAAAAUUUAAUUUUUUUAUUAAAAAGUUAAAAUGAUUUAAAAAGACGAGAAGACCCUAUAGAGUUUAAUAAAUUAUUAAAUUAAGAUUAUAUUCAAAUUAAAAUUAAAAUUUAUUAAUUUAUUUUGUUGGGGUGAUAAAAAAAUAAAUAAAACUUUUUUUAAAUAAAAACAUUUAUAAGUGAUAAAAUGAUCCAGUAAUAUUGAUUAUAAGAAAAAAUUACCUUAGGGAUAACAGCGUAAUUAUAUUUUUUAGUUCAAAUAAGAAAAAUAGUUUGCGACCUCGAUGUUGGAUUAAGAUAAAAUUUAAAUGUAGAAGUUUAAAAUUUUGAUCUGUUCGAUCAUUAAAAUCUUACAUGAUCU